rnacentral:rRNA from 1 species
GACGAACGCUGGCGGCGUGCUUAACACAUGCAAGUCGAACGAAGUGGCGAACGGGUGAGUAACGCGUAAUCAACCUGCCCUUCAGCGGGGGACAACCGUUGGAACCGACUGCUAAUACCGCAUAUUGAAGGUGGGCAUGCCGUGUGAUUAGCCGGUUGGAGGGGUAACGGGCCACCAAGGCGAUGUUCAGUAGGCGGUCUGAGAGGAUGAACGGCCACAAUGGGGCUGAGACACGGGCCAGAGUCCUACGGGAGGGAGGAAUGGGGAAGCUUCCGCAAAGGAAGAAAGUCUGACGGAGCAACGCCGCGUGAGUGAUGACGGCCUUGGGGUUGUAAAGCUCCGUUAAUCGGGACGCGGUACCGAAAUAGAAAGCCACGGCUAACUACGUGCCAGCAGCCGCGGUAAUUC